ACCCACCGGCCUCUGCACCUCCGGCCCCAUCUGAGCCCAGCCACAAGGAGAAGCUGUGUGGCUGGAGGCACCCCAGGAGCGAUGCUUGCUCCAAAGGCUGGGGUGCUCCUGGCAGAGGGCGUUCUCAGUCUGUCAGCCGGCUGAGCACCCCCCCAGACAGGAUUCGCAUGCCUUCCAGCCUCGGCACAGAAAGGUGGAAGAACCAGAGCACUCCAACCACCCCUGCUACCCACCAGGGCCCUCUGGUGAGGGGUCGGUCCAACAGCGUGUCCGGAUCUCCUGUGCUCCACAAUGCCAAGGCAGCAGGUGGCUGCAAAGCCAGACCCCCCUGGAAGUGAUGCCAAGUGUCCUUCUGGAUGUACAUACAGCCUUAGUCUACCUGAGGCCUCCCUGUGACCAAGCCCACAAGGACCCUGGGCUUUUCCAUGGCUGGAAGCAAAGGAUGGGGCUGUUCCAUGCUGGAAGACAAGCCAGGAGCCAAAGGUGACCACAGUGCUGGGGCAGUGCCCUCCUUGUUCAGGGCACAACCCCACAGCGCCAGGGUGGGACAGCCUUGGUGGGAACAGCUGCUCCCCGUGAUGUCCAGUGGUUGUCAGAGGAGGGUCCUGCUGUCUGGGAAAUCCAGCUGGGAAGUUGGAGCAGCAGGAGACAGGAGUGCCUGCAGUGCAGUACAGUCCCAUCCAGGCACAGGUAUGGAGAGGCUGCUCUGAGGUCCCCCAAAAGGUUCCCUUCUCCAGGAAUUGAGCUCCAUUCCCUCUGCCUCUAUGCACAGGAUGUGCCUUGGUGUCUCCCUGCUGUCCUUGCUUUGUGUCACCAACGCCUUAUGGACUCCUCUGACAAAGCAGGACCAGGGAGGAUGAGCACAGAGGUGAGGAAAGCGCUGCCCUGUAUGCUGCUGGCAGUGGGAUGGUCCCCGGCUGGAUGGGGUUUGUGACACAGAAGGAUCUGCAGCACGGGGGUUUUGGCAGCUCGUGGUGAUGAGGAGGUGCUGAGUAGAUCCAUAAUUGUGUGGCUGGUGCUGAGGAUUGUGAGGUGCUCACAGCAGUGCCACGGUGUCGCCAAAUCUGGGAUCUGUGGGAUGUUGCUGAGUGAUCUGAGCAGCUCCAAAGCUCCUCCACUUCCUUUGCUGAGGUGGGAAAGAGCAGCUCUGUCUGUGUGGAGGUGGAUAAAGGACAUGGGGUGGGGGACUUGAGUUUGCAGUCACUGCUCCCUGGGGAGGGAGGCUGUGGUGAGGAGCUGCUGAGGUUACUGGGAAUUUGGUAACUCCCAUGCCAAGGGAAACACUCAAAUUCACCCAAUGACACCAAGCCAUGUUAAGAGCAUCAUUCUGCCCCCAGAAAUGAUUUUAUUGCACUUUGAGCAAGGGGGAUUGGGCCUUGACCCACUCCAGCACGUGGAGCUGGAGCCAGCCAGGAACCUGCCCUGAGAGGAAUUUCUGCUCAUUUCUUGGCCUGACAGGAAGCAAGAAUAAACUGAUGUUAUUAAAACCCGAGAAGGUGAGUGAGGAUCCUUGUGAUUAGCUCCAAGCUCUCAGAUAUAUCCCUAAGUUUCCCAUGGAGACAAUCCAGCAGCUCUUCUCCCCCUGGGGUAAAAUUGGAGGGACAUCAAACAAUUGUGGCCUUCUCAAAGGAGGGGUUGGGAGUGCUGGUGUCAAUGUGAGCCUGAUCAGCUGUGUUUGGGAUGUGGGCACAGUGAUGGGCAAGCUGUGAAGGCUGCAGGUCUCACUGGGCUGGGAGAGAAUCUGGAUGUGAUUUGGACACUAGGUGGAGACAAGAGGGUUGAGGAUUGACACCGGAGCAGGAAUGCUGUUCCCCAGCAGCAGCCAGGAGAGAUCCAGCCAGGCGAGUCCUCAGCAAACUGGGGGAACAGCCCUGGAAUCUAAGCAGCAGAGAAAUGAAGCAAUCUCGGAGAGCUGGAGUCCUUGGAAGAGGAAGCCUCUAAAAGUAAGGAGAGAUUUUUAUCUGAAAAUCAAGUUGACUGUGGCCUGUGUGGCCGGGAUUGGCCACUUUACCCCCACUGCUGUGUGCAGCGUCCAAGGAAUCAGUGGGAGAAACUAGAGCCCGUCUCAUCAGCCACACUUUCCUGUCCCACACUGGCCCAGGUUGUCACCAAGGGCUUCCAGGAGGUCAGAACUGGCACUUUCUUGCUAUUUACAUAUGAAGACAACGUUGCUUAAGUAUAAAUGGGUUGUUUG